UCGAGAAUCAUUCGCAAUGGGCGAAAGCCUGACGAUGCGACGCCGUGUGAGCGAAGAAGGCCUUCGGGUUGUAAAGCUCUUUCGCCUGGGAACAAGAGAAGCUGGCUAAUAUCCAGCCUAUUUGAGGGUACCAGGUAAAGAAGCACCGGCUAACUCCGUGCCAGCAGCUGCGGUAAUACGGAGGGUGCAAGCAUUAAUCGGAUUUAUUGGGCGUAAAGGGCGUCUAGGCGGAGGUGUAAGUCAAGCGUUAAAGACCGGAGCUCAACUUCGGAGCAGCGUUUGAAACUACAUCUCUUGAGGAUAGGCGGGGAAAGCGGAAUUCCACGUGUAGCGGUGAAAUGCGUAGAUAUGUGGAAGAACACCGGUGGCGAAGGCGGCUUUCUAGCUUACUCCUGACGCUGAAGCGCGAAAGCAAGGGGAGCAAACAGGAUUAGAUACCCCCGUAGUCC
rnacentral:rRNA from 1 species